rnacentral:misc_RNA from 1 species
AACGCACAUUGCACCUUCUGGUAUUCCGGAGGGUAUACCUGUUUGAGCGUCAUUUAUAUACUCAAAACUUUAUUGUUUUUGGUUAUGGGCAUCUAUUCUUGAUUGAAUUUGCCUGAAAUACAACGGUAGAGUGGUCACUGGGAAGACAGGUUUAACCAAUGCUAUUAAAUUUAUCGUUGGGCAGGUCUGUUCUUUUAGGUGACUAUGCUUCCUUAACGUCCUUGCGGACAACAUUUCUUAAAUUUUGACCUCAAAUCAGGCAGGAGUACCCGCUGAACUUAA